GGCAUUUUAAUGGUUAAAACAUUGGACUACCAAUCAGAAGGUCGUGAGUUCAAAUCCCAGCGCUGCCG